AUUGAACGCUGGCGGCAGGCUUAACACAUGCAAGUCGAGCGGAGAUGAGGUGCUUGCACCUUAUCUUAGCGGCGGACGGGUGAGUAAUGCUUAGGAAUCUGCCUAUUAGUGGGGGACAACAUUCCGAAAGGAAUGCUAAUACCGCAUACGUCCUACGGGAGAAAAGCAGGGGAUCUUCGGACCUUGCGCUAAUAGAUGAGCCUAAGUCGGAUUAGCCAGUUGGUGGGGUAAAGGCCUACCAAGGCGACGAUCUGUAGCGGGUCUGAGAGGAUGAUCCGCCACACUGGGACUGAGACACGGCCCAGACUCCUACGGGAGGCAGCAGUGGGGAAUAUUGGACAAUGGGGGGAACCCUGAUCCAGCCAUGCCGCGUGUGUGAAGAAGGCCUUAUGGUUGUAAAGCACUUUAAGCGAGGAGGAGGCUACUUUAGUUAAUACCUAGAGAUAGUGGACGUUACUCGCAGAAUAAGCACCGGCUAACUCUGUGCCAGCCGCCGCAGUAA
rnacentral:rRNA from 1 species